rnacentral:lncRNA from 1 species
GCCUCAUUUUGAGUUGAUUUCUCUUCCUUUCAGCUUCAUUUUGACUAUUUGUUUCGAUAAGAAGAAGAACCCUCUUUCCCCAAAUCCCCUUCUAUGUGACUUUCAUCCAACAGGUAUCAUGGUUAAGCUGUUUAAAGUCAAGGAGAAACAACGGGAACUUGCUGAAAAUUCGAACGAGAAGCCUCCUGUAAUAAGCAAAGCGCGGGCGAGUUGCGUCUCCACAAAGGUAGAUCAUUAUGAUGUUAGUUUUGUGAUUGUUUGAUGUUAAUUUGUAGAUUGUUUGUUGUUAAUUUUUAGUUUUUGAUGUUAAUUUUCAGUUUUUGAUGUUUUUAUGA